rnacentral:lncRNA from 1 species
AUAGCAGCACAACUCACAAUUGCAAAAUCAUGGAACCAACCCAAACGCCCAUCGAUCAACGAGUGGAUAAAGAAACUGUGAUAUAUGUAUCAUAUAUAUAUCAUCUAUUAUAUUAAAUAGAUGAUAUAUGUAUCAUACAUAUCAUCUAUUAUAUUAAAUAGAUGAUAUAUGUAUCAUAUAUAUCAUCUAUUAUAUUUCUCCACUCUCAUUUUCUGUCUUUUCUCUUAACCACUUGCUAAAUCUAUUUGAUAUGACAAAUUCUACAUGUCCAAAAUUGGCCCAGCUACUCAGGGGGCUAAGGCAGGAGAAUCGCUUGAACCCAGGAGGCAGAGGUAACGAAAACACAACAUAUCAAAACCUAUGAGAUACAGCAAAAGCAAUACUAAGAGAGAGGUUUAUCGCAAAAAAGUGGAGAAACUUCAAAUAAACAAUUUAAAUUGCUUUUUUUGAAUAUAUUAAGAAUUUUAAAUCACAAACAAUAGAAUUAUGCAGGAAUACUUGGAUUCACUGAUCUCAUGGCCACC